rnacentral:rRNA from 1 species
ACUCAAAGGAAUUGACGGGGGCCCGCACAAGCGGUGGAGCAUGUGGUUCAAUUCGACGCAACGCGAAGAACCUUACCUGGGCUCGAACGGCUUCCCAACGACUGUGGAAACAUGGUUACCCCGCAAGGGGGUGGAGUCGAGGUGCUGCAUGGCUGUCGUCAGCUCGUGUCGUGAGAUGUUGGGUUAAGUCCCGCAACGAGCGCAACCCUUGUCCUGUGUUGCCAUGCCGAAAGGCGGAACUCGCAGGAGACCGCCAGCGAUAAGCUGGAGGAAGGUGGGGAUGACGUCAAGUCCUCAUGGCCUUUAUGUCCAGGGCUACACACGUGCUACAAUGGACGGUACAAUACGUCGCUAACCCGCGAGGGGGAGCCAAUCGCUAAAAACCGUUCUCAGUUCGGAUUGCAGGCUGCAACUCGCCUGCAUGAAGCUGGAAUCGCUAGUAAUGGCAGAUCAGCACGCUGCCGUGAAUACGUUCCCGGGCCUUGUACACACCGCCCGU